rnacentral:rRNA from 1 species
AGUGAACGCUGGCGGUAUGCCUAACACAUGCAAGUCGAACGGCAGCACAGUAAGAGCUUGCUCUAACGGGUGGCGGGUGGCGGGCGGGUGAGGAAUGCAUCCGGAUCUACUCUUUCGUGGAGGAUUACGUAGGGAGACUUACGAUAAUACAGCAUACGAUCUACGGGGGUAUGCAGGAGAGCUUUGCACUUUGCGCUAAUCAAUGGGCCGAUGACGUAGUAGGUGGUUGGCGGGGUAAAGGCCCACCAAGGCGAUGAUCCGUAGCAGGGCGUGGAGGGUGAUCAGCCACACUGGGAUUGAGACCCGGUCCAGACUCCGACGGGAGGCAGCAGUGGGGAAUAUUGGACAAUGGGCGAAAGCUUGAUCCAGCCAUACAGCGUGAGUGAGGAAGGCCUCCUGGUUGUAGACCGCUUUUGUUGGGAAAGAAAAUCUGCCGGUUAACACCCCGCUUUUCUGACGGUACCUAAAGAAUAAGCACCGGCUAACUUCGUG